rnacentral:rRNA from 1 species
ACGGGUGAGUAACGCGUGGGUAAUCUACCCCGGUCUGGGGGAUAACGCACCGAAAGGUGCGCUAAUACCGCAUGAUCCGGCGGGUUUUUGGACCCGCUGGAAAAGGUGGCCUCUUCCUGAAAGCUACCGAACCGGGAUGAGCCCGCGUCCUAUUAGCUUGUUGGUGGGGUAAAGGCCUACCAAGGCGACGAUGGGUAGCUGGUCUGAGAGGACGGCCAGCCACACUGGAACUGGUACACGGUCCAGACUCCUACGGGAGGCAGCAGUGAGGAAUAUUGCGCAAUGGGGGAAACCCUGACGCAGCGAUGCCGCGUGGGUGAAGAAGGCCUUCGGGUCGUAAAGCCCUGUCAAACGGGAAGAACAGUUUGGGGACGAAUAAUCCUCAGGCCUGACGGUACCGUUGAAGGAAGCACCGGCUAACUCCGUGCCAGCAGCCGCGGUAAGACGGAGGGUGCGAGCGUUAUUCGGAUUUAUUGGGCGUAAAGAGUGUGUAGGCGGUCGAUCAAGUCUGAUGUGAAAGCCCGGGGCUUAACCUCGGAAGGGCGUUGGAAACUGGUCGACUUGAGUUCGGGAGAGGAAAGC